rnacentral:rRNA from 1 species
UGAGGAAUAUUGGUCAAUGGGCGGAAGCCUGAACCAGCCAUCCCGCGUGCAGGAAGACGGCCCUAUGGGUUGUAAACUGCUUUUCCAGGGGGAGAAACUUUCCGAUGAAUCGGGAUUUGACGGUACCCUGGGAAUAAGCAUCGGCCAACUCCGUGCCAGCAGCCGCGGUAAUACGGAGGAUGCGAGCGUUAUCCGGAUUUAUUGGGUUUAAAGGGUGCGUAGGCGGAUCGAUAAGUCAGUGGUGAAAACCUGCAGCUUAACUGUAGACUUGCAGUUGACACUGUUGGUCUUGAGUAUGGUCAAGGUAGGCGGAAUGUGUAAUGUAGCGGUGAAAUGCUUAGAUAUUACACAGAACACCGAUUGCGAAGGCAGCUUACUGGACCAUCACUGACGCUGAUGCACGAAAGCGUGGGGAUCGAACAG